CUGUGCAAAGGUAGCAUAAUCAUUAGUUUUUUAAUUGAAGGCUUGUAUGAAGGGUCUGACAAAGAAAAAGCUGUCUUUAGUUUUAUUUUUGAAUUUAACUUUUAAGUGAAAAGGCUUAAAUAAAUUUAAGGGACGAUAAGACCCUAUAAAUCUUUAUAUUAAAUUAUUAUCUUGAAUUUUAAUGUUUGUUUAGAUAUUAACAAGUAAAAUAAUAAAUAUUUUGUUGGGGUGACAAGAAUAUAAAAAUAACUGUUCUUAAGAAAAACAAAGUUGUUUGUAUAAAAUUUUAUAGAUCCUUUUUAAAGAUUAAGAGUUUAAGUUACUUUAGGGAUAACAGCGUUAUUUUUUUUGAGAGUUCUUAUCGAAAAAAAAGUUUGCGACCUCGAUGUUGAAUUAAAAUUUCUUUACGGUGUAGAAGUUGUAAGAGAAAGUCUGUUCGACUUUUGAAAUUUU
rnacentral:rRNA from 1 species